UCAAAGUAGAAAGGGCGUACGGUGGAUGCCUAAGUGAGGCACCAAGAGCCGAAGAAGGACGCGGCAGGCGGCGAGAUGCUCCGGGGAGCUGCGAGCAAGCUAUGAUCCGGAGAUAUCCGAAUGGGGAAACCCACUUUGGGUAAUGCCAAAGUAUCCCUAAGGGGAAACUCUUAGGGAGGGGAACUGGGGGAACUGAAACAUCUUAGUACCCCAAGGAAGAGAAAGAGGAGAUCGAUUCCCUAAGUAGUGGUGAGCGAAAGGGGAGGAGCCUAAACCUAAUUGGUGUAGAAGCUUGCAGGCGUUGCCAAUUAGGGGUAGAGGGAUAAGUUCAGGCGAAGCUGCAACUUUGCCGUAGAUGGUAAUACACUUAGCUGAGCAGUCUGGGAAGGCUGACCAAAGAGGGUGAUAGUCCCGUAGGCGAAAAGUGGAAUUACCACUAUGGAACUUAGACCCGAGUAGCAUGGGGCACGAGGAAUCCUGUGCGAAUCAGGGCAGACCACUGCCUAAGGCUAAACACUCUUGGUGACCGAUAGAGGAAAGUACCGUGAGGGAAAGGUGAAAAGAACCCCAGUGAGGGGAGUGAAAUAGAACCUGAAACCAUACGUCUACAAAGGAGUAGGAGAGCGCUGUAUGAAUUCUGCGAAGGGUUCAUACGGCUCAACUGCGUUCCUGUUGAAGAAUUAGCCGGCGAGUUAAUACAUGUGGCGAGGUUAAGGGAGAGAAAGUCCUGGAGCCGAAGUGAAAGCGAGCCUGAAAAGGGCGAAAAGUCACAUGUAUUAGACCCGAAACCAGGCGAGCUACCCAUGGUCAGGAUGAAGCGGAGCUAACCCUCCGUGGAGGUUCGAACCUGUUAGCAGUGAAAAGCUAUAGGAUGAGCUGUGGGUAGGAGUGAAAAGCUAAUCGAGCCUGGAGAUAGCUGGUUCUCCCCGAAAUAGCUUUAGGGCUAGUCUCAGCGAGAGAAGUUCAGGGAGGUAGAGCACUGGUUGGGCGAGGGGCGGGGAUCCGCUGCCAAGUCCAGUCAAACUCCGAAUACUCUGAGCGGAUAGCUGGGAAUCGGGCUGUGGGGGAUAAGCUCCAUGGUCAAGAGGGAAACAGCCCAGAUCAACAGCUAAGGUCCCGAAGUUCAGGCUAAGUGGUAAAGGAGGUAGUUUGGCGAAGACAGUCAGGAUGUUGGCUUAGAAGCAGCCAUCAUUAAAAGAGUGCGUAAUAGCUCACUGAUCGAGCCAAGCUGCGCCGAAGAUACACGGGGCUAAAGCCUGACACCGAAGCUUUGGAUUUCAUCUAUCCACGGAUAGAUGGAGUGGUAGGGGAGCGUUCCGUAGUAGGGAGAAGGCAGACCGGAAGGACUGCUGGACGAGGCGGAAGUGAGAAUGCCGGCAUGAGUAGCGAAAAGAAGGGUGAGAAUCCCUUUGACCGAAAGCCUAAGGAUUCCUGGGUAAAGCUCGUCUUCCCAGGGUUAGCCGGGAGCUAAGCUGAGGCCGAAGGGCGUAGGUAAUGCACAGCCGGUUAAUAAUCCGGCGCCACCUACAGACCGAUAGAACCGAAGGAGGGACGCAGGAGGGUAGGUGUGCCUGGUGGUGACAUACCAGGUCCAAGCUCCGAGGGAGGGAGUACAGGCAAAUCCGUACUUCCGAUGAACUGAGGAGUGAUGGGGAGUUCUCAAAAAGAGAGCGAAGGCACUGAGCUCACACUGCCGAGAAAAGCUUCUAGGGAGGUUGGUAGGUGCCCGUACCGAAAACCGACACAGGUAGGCGAGGUGAAGAUCCAAAGGUACGCGGGAUAACCCUCGUUAAGGAACUCGGCAAAAUAGCCCCGUAAGUUAGCGAGAAGGGGUGCCCAAGUAAGGUAAGUAGCCUGAAAGGGUUGCAGUGAAGAGGCUCUGGGGACUGUUUACCAAAAACACAGGUCUCUGCUAAGGUAUAGAAGCCGAAGUAUAGGGGCUGAGGCCUGCCCGGUGCUGGAAGGUUAAGGGGAGGAGUUAGGGAGGCAACUUCCGAAGCUUCGAGCCGAAGCCCCAGUGAACGGCGGCCGUAACUAUAACGGUCCUAAGGUAGCGAAAUUCCUUGUCGGGUAAGUUCCGACC
rnacentral:rRNA from 1 species